rnacentral:rRNA from 1 species
CCUGCCCAAUGUAAAUUAUAAAUGGCUGCGAAUAAAUUCGUACUAAGGUAGCAUAAUAAUUUGUCUUUUAAUUAAAGAAUAGAAUGAAUGGGUAAAUAAAGAAUAAUCUGUCUCUAUUUAUAAAAUAAAAAUUAAUCUAAAAGUGAAAAAGCUUUUAUAUAAUAAUAAGACAAAAAGACCCUGUUGAGCUUAAAUUAUAAUUAAUAAUAUAAUUUUUAUUGGGGCAAUAAGAAUAAAAUAAAUCAAUUCUUAAUAAUAAGAACAAAAUCAAUUUAUUAUCCAAUUUAAUUGAAUGUUAAAUAAGUUACCACAGGGAUAACAGGUUUAUUUUUCUAAAGAGCCCAAAUCGAUAGAAAAGCUUGAUACCUCGAUGUUGGCUUAAAAUUUCUUUUUAAAGUAAAAUUUAAAAAAGUUGGUU